rnacentral:tRNA from 1 species
GCGCCGUUAGCUCAGCUGGUAGAGCAGUGGCCUCUUAAGCCAACGGUCGGGGGUUCGAGUCCUUCACGGCGCA